AUGUUUGCUUCAGCAGCCUGUAUGCUAAAAUUGAAACAAUACAGAGGCGACUAGCAUGCCCCUGUGUAAGUAUGACAUGCAAAUUCAUGACGUAUUCCAUGUUUGU
ensembl:snRNA U6 U6 spliceosomal RNA